rnacentral:rRNA from 1 species
UACGGGGGGGGCAAGCGUUGUCCGGAUUUAUUGGGUUUAAAGGGUGCGUAGGCGGUCUAUUAAGUCAGUGCUGAAAUAUCCCGGCUUAACCGGGAGGGUGGCAUUGAUACUGAUGGACUUGAGUGCAGUCGAGGUAGGCGGAAUUGACGGUGUAGCGGUGAAAUGCUUAGAUAUCGUCAAGAACACCGAUAGUGAAGACAGCUUACUAGACUGUAACUGACGCUGAGGCACGAAAGUGUGGGGAUCAAACAGG